AUACCCACGAAACCUAGCGGUAAAACCCGGUAAUGUUCCCAAUCGUUUGUUUACCAUUCAUUUUUGCGUUUGGGAUUUUAGAACUACUUCAUAUAAGGUCUGUGUUUCGUGUAGGUUUACCCAGGCGUGACGUUUUGAUGGCCAUGUAAUUCUCUCUCGGACAAGGCUCGAUGUGAUGUAGUCUCCACAACUGGAAGCUCGUGCUCGGAUCACACUGGCACAGGAUGUCCAUGCACCGGAUGGUCUGAGGAUGCACUCCUGUUGGACUGGAAAACAAAGUGACAUUUGGUCAGUGUCUGGAUCUUCCUCUUCUGCCAUGGUGGAUGAUC